rnacentral:rRNA from 1 species
AGCGAACGCUGGCGGCAGGCCUAACACAUGCAAGUCGAGCGCCCCGCAAGGGGAGCGGCAGACGGGAGAGUAACACGUGGGAACGUACCCUUUGGUUCGGAACAACCCAGGGAAACUUGGGCUAAUACCGAAUAAGCCCUUACGGGGAAAGAUUUAUCGCCGAAGGAUCGGCCCGCGUCUGAUUAGCUAGUUGGUGAGGUAACGGCUCACCAAGGCGACGAUGAGUAGCCGGUCUGAGAGGAUGAUCAGCCUCACUGGGACUGAGACACGGCCGAGACUCCGACGGGAGGCAGCAGUGGGGAAUAUUGGACAAUGGGCGCAAGCCUGAUCCAGCCAUGCCGCGUGGGUGAUGAAGGCCCUAGGGUUGUAAAGCCCUUUCGGCGGGGAAGAUAAUGACGGUACCCGCAGAAGAAGCCCCGGCUAACUUCGUGCCAGCCGCCGCUGUAA